rnacentral:rRNA from 1 species
GAUGAACGCUAGCUACAGGCUUAACACAUGCAAGUCGAGGGGUAGCAGGGUAGCAAUACCGCUGACGACCGGCGCACGGGUGAGUAACACGUAUCCAACCUUCCCAUAACUCGGGGAUAGCCUUUCGAAAGAAAGAUUAAUACCCGAUAGUACUUAACAGAGGCAUCUUUGAUAAGUUAAAGAUUUAUUGGUUAUGGAUGGGGAUGCGUUCCAUUAGAUAGUUGGUGAGGUAACGGCUCACCAAGUCUUCGAUGGAUAGGGGUUCUGAGAGGAAGGUCCACCACAUUGGUACUGAGACACGGACCAAACUCCUACGGGAUGCAGCAGUGAGGAAUAUUGGUCAAUGGGCGAGAGCCUGAACCAGCCAAGUAGCGUGAAGGAUGAAGGUCCUAUGGAUUGUAAACUUCUUUUAUAGUAGAAUAAAGUGAUCCACGUGUGGAUUUUUGUAUGUAUACUAUGAAUAAGGAUCGGCUAACUCCGUGCCAGCAGCCGCAGUAA